CACUCCUACGGGAGGCAGCAGUGGGGAAUAUUGGACAAUGGGCGCAAGCCUGAUCCAGCCAUGCCGCGUGAGUGAUGAAGGCCCUAGGGUUGUAAAGCUCUUUCACCGGUGAAGAUAAUGACGGUAACCGGAGAAGAAGCCCCGGCUAACUUCGUGCCAGCAGCCGCGGUAAUACGAAGGGGGCUAGCGUUGUUCGGAUUUACUGGGCGUAAAGCGCACGUAGGCGGACUAUUAAGUCAGGGGUGAAAUCCCGGGGCUCAACCCCGGAACUGCCUUUGAUACUGGUAGUCUUGAGUUCGAGAGAGGUGAGUGGAAUUCCGAGUGUAGAGGUGAAAUUCGUAGAUAUUCGGAGGAACACCAGUGGCGAAGGCGGCUCACUGGCUCGAUACUGACGCUGAGGUGCGAAAGCGUGGGGAGCAAACAGGAUUAGAUACCCGGGUAGUCCCAUGAU
rnacentral:rRNA from 1 species